GCCCACGAGAAAAAAAGUAGAAAUCCUUUCCAUUUAAAGUGGUCCUACUCCUAAGUUGAAAACAGUGUAGUUGUGACGUAAUUAUCGAAAUGGUGUAUUUAUGCAGUCAUAAAGAACUAAACUUGUUAGAAGUGGGUGGUUCAUAAUUAGGUUUUCAGAUAUUAAAUUUUUAUCAAGUCUGGAUGACUGAGUGAAACCCAACUAUUCAUAGACUUGAAAUAAAUACAUACAGUAACUUUCAAGUUUCAAGACUGAGAUCAAUAGAACCUUUUCGUAAAUG